rnacentral:misc_RNA from 1 species
GGCGGCGGACGCCGGAGUUAAGCGGGUUGUGUUUACGUCGUCUAUCGGAGCAGUGGCGAUGGAUCCGAACCGUGCGCCAGGUGUUGUUGUCGAUGAGUCCUGCUGGAGUGACAUAGAUUUCUGUGAGAAGACCAAGAACUGGUACUGUUACGGCAAGGUGGCGGCUGAGCAGGCGGCGUGGGAGACGGCACGGCGGCGCGGGGUGGAGCUGGUGGUCAUUUGCCCUGUCCUUGUGGUGGGCCCCCUCCUCCAGCCAGGGAUUAACGCCAGCAUUGCACACGUGCUAAAGUACCUCGACGGCUCAGCUCGCACGUACGCCAACGCCGUGCAGGCGUAUGUGCAUGUGCGAGAUGUGGCGGAAGCACACGUGCGAGUCUUCGAGGCUCCUGAGGCGUCUGGUCGGUACCUCUGCGCCGAGAGUGUGUUGCACCGUGCUGACGUGGUUCGUUGUUUGGCGAAGUUGUUCCCUGAGUAUCCUCUCCCAACAAGGUGCUCAGAUGAGGUUAAUCCGCGAAAGCAGCCCUACAAGUUUUCUAACAAGCGACUGAGGGACUUGGGGCUCGAGUUCACCCCAGCAAUACGUUGUUUCUAUGAUACUGUGAAGAGCCUUCAGGAAAAGGGUUGCCUCCCAGUUAUGGCCUCUCCUAUGAUUGAUGAGGACGGCAAUCUUAUCGACAUUCCUUCUCUUGAGACUGAAGAGAUC